rnacentral:lncRNA from 1 species
GUUUUUCUGACUGCAAAACCAUCUAACUAGCUUAUUUAGGUCCACUUUUCAAAUUGUUGUAUUGUUUGGAACAAGACCAUUUGAUUCAGUUCACAAAUAUACAUCAGUUGUGAUGUAUAACGUGAUGCAUUAUGUUAUUUGCAUUGCUGGCUAUUGUGAAAACAUCCAGUAUUACUGUACAAUAUUUUCUCAUAUAACGGCUGAGCAGCCGAAUACACUACUAAUGGAACUUUCCUAUAAUACUUUUUCUAUUAUCGUGUGUAUAUAUAUAUAUAGUAAAGAAAAAAUACAUCGUAAGGCUUUUCAAACUUUUUUUGCAUGUUUUACGCCCCUUUUCAAUCAUGGAGAUUACUAAGGAGCGGGGAGAGUUCCAACCACGAGCUGCAUCCACACUCGUGGAGAGGGACCGGAUGGUGAAGGACGAGGAUCGCCAGGCUAGACCCAGCAUCCUGAAAAAAAUUUUCAGGAGAUACUAGACCCAGGACCCGGGAUACCACUCAGCCAUCCGAUCGCAGGCUUUGCGUACUAGUAGGGGGCAUUGACACUAGUCGCAACUGUCAAUGAACGGUCUAAAAUCUCUAAAUGGCACCUUUUCGAAUUAGGACCUUUAAAAGCUAGUCAAUCACCAUCGAGUACGCGAAGAUUUGUUGCCACGCUUUGUGUCGGUCUCGAUUAUAACUGACUGUAAAGGGUCCUAACUUGAAAAUGGAUGCGGCUUUUAUAUGUUCAUUGAUACAAUUUUGACUUGUUUCGAUGCCCCCUAUCAGUUCGCGAAACUUUACCACGAAGUUUUUCUUCACCUAUAUGUUAUCAGCGAUCUGAAAACCCC